CUUGUGGGAGGGAGCCGUCGAAGGUGGGACUGGCGAUUGGGACUAAGUCGUAACAAGGUAGCCGUACCGGAAGGUGCGGCUGGAUCACCUCCUUUCUAAGGAGC
rnacentral:rRNA from 1 species